GACGAACCGUGCGAACGUUGUUCGGAAUCACUGGGCUUAAAGGGCGCGUAGGCGGGUGCUCAAGUCCGGGGUGAAAUCCUCCAGCUCAACUGGAGAACUGCCUCGGAUACUGGGUGUCUCGAGGGUGGUAGGGGUAUGCGGAACUAUCGGUGGAGCGGUGAAAUGCGUUGAUAUCGAUAGGAACUCCGGUGGCGAAGGCGGCAUACUGGACCACAUCUGACGCUGAGGCGCGAAAGCCAGGGGAGCAAACGGG
rnacentral:rRNA from 1 species